rnacentral:rRNA from 1 species
GAGUUUGAUCGUGGCUCAGGACGAACGCUGGCGGCGUGCUUAACACAUGCAAGUCAAGGGGGCCCGCAAGGGCAACCGGCGAACGGGUGCGUAACACGUGAGCAACCUACCGAUUUGUGGGGGAUAGCCGGCCCAACGGCCGGGUAAUACCGCAUACGUUCUUCGGGGCACCUGCCCUGGAGAAGAAACUUUCGAGGCAGAUCGAGGGGCUCGCGGCCUAUCAGCUAGUUGGCGAGGUCACGGCUCACCAAGGCGACGACGGGUAGCUGGUCUGAGAGGAUGGCCAGCCACAUUGGGACUGAGAAACGGCCCAGACUCCUACGGGAGGCAGCAGUGGGGAAUCUUGCGCAAUGGGCGAAAGCCUGACGCAGCGACGCCGCGUGGGGGAUGACGGGUUUCGGCUUGUAAACCCCUGUUGCCCGGACGAACUUCUCCUUUCGAGGAGAUUGACGGUACCGGGUGAGGAAGCACCGGCUAACUCUGUGCCAGCCGCCGCAGUAAU